rnacentral:rRNA from 1 species
UACGUAGGGCGCAAGCGUUGUCCGGAAUUAUUGGGCGUAAAGAGCUCGUAGGCGGUCUGUCGCGUCCGUUGUGAAAACUCGAGGCUCAACCUCGGGCUUGCAGUGGAUACGGGCAGACUAGAGUGCGGUAGGGGAGACUGGAAUUCCUGGUGUAGCGGUGGAAUGCGCAGAGAUCGGGAGGAACACCCGUAGCGAAGGCGGCGCUCUGGGCCGGCACUGACGCUGAGGAGCGAAAGCUAGGGGGAGCAAACAGG